GUACAGCAAGACUAUCUCAUGAGAUUGGACUUCCUCCUGGUGUGUUGAAUAUAGUAUUUGACUUUGGUUCAACUGCAGGUGCUUUAUGUGAAGAUGACGACAUAGACUGUUGACCUGCAUAAUUCUUUACAAGACAGAAUCAUCAGAACACAAAGUGGCAAACCACUCAAAACAUAUAGCAGGUCAUGACGGAAAAUCCAAAAUGCUCAUUUUACUAACGGUUUCCACUUGCACUUUCUUUCUGAAACGCAUCACACAUAAUGAGAUUAUAGAUAAAUUCACACUAAUUUUGUUUCCGACUCAUCUAAAUUGCAUUUUAUAGUUUAAUUUGAUCUUCUAAGCACCUAACAGAAUUGUUAACAGAGGUCAUGAUAGUUAACUGGGUUAACAGAUUCAUUAGCAGAACAAAAAAAAGAGUUCACAACAUUUUCAUUGAUAACCAACAACCAACAAGUUCAGGUGUAACUAACUCAAAAGUCCAACUGGCAUAACUAACAAAUUAACUUCUAACCGAUUUCCUAAUUUCAAGCCCAUUUAAGUUGAAUUUCAAUGACAUUUGGGAAGAGUUUAUAAUAGAAUUCAGAAGAGAGAAAUCUAUAAAUAACCAAGCAUCACAUUCAUUCAGAUUUUUUCAUUUCAAAGCAUCACAUUCAUUCAGUUUUUUCAUUCAGAUUUUUCAUUUCAAAGCAUCACAUUCAUUCAGGUUUUCCAUUCAUAUUUUUCACAUUUCAAAGCAUCACAUUCAGGAAUUCGAAUUCAACAAAAUUCAUCAAAUUCUCAUAUUCAACAGAAUCGAGCACCAGAAUAACAACAACACAAGACAAUCGCAUCGAGUUUACAGAGAAGAAGAUAAAGUGAAGUAGAAGAGCAGAGGAAGCAAGGAAUUCAUUACCUGGUGAUCUUCCGGAGAUUCACUGCAUCGGAGUUCAAAAGCGGUGAGUUCUCUUCUUUAUUAAAUCGUAGUUUGCGAGUCGAUUCCCCUUGAUACACCAUUUGAGA
rnacentral:lncRNA from 1 species